GCCCGAUCGUAAACUUUAAAUUACACCUCCAAUCGCCAGAGAACUACGAGCAAAGCUUAAAACUCAAAGGACUUGACGGUACCCCAUAUCCCCCUAGAGGAGCCUGUCCUGUAAUCGAUAAUCCCCGUUUAACCUCACCACUUUUAGCUUAUCAGCCUGUAUACCUCCGUCGUCAGCUUACCACGUGAGCGAAACUCAGUGAGCCUAAUGUCCGUACGUCCACACGUCAGGUCAAGGUGCAGUAAAUGAAGUGGCAAGAGAUGGGCUACACUUUCUAAAAUAGAACACACGAAAGACCAUAUAUGAAAACUGGUCAAAAGGCGGAUUUAGUAGUAAAAGAAAAUCAGAGCGUUUCUUUUAAUUCGGCACUGGGGUGUGUACACACCGCCCGUCACCCUCUUCAAAGCCCAAUCUUAGUAUUUAACCACUUAAUGCUUCACAGAAGAGGCAAGUCGUAACAUGGUAAGUAUACCGGAAGGUGUGCUUGGAAA
rnacentral:rRNA from 1 species